rnacentral:rRNA from 1 species
UUCCUAUAAAAACUAUACAACUUUCAGCAACGGAUCUCUUGGCUCUCGCAUCGAUGAAGAACGCAGCGAAAUGCGAUAAGUAAUGUGAAUUGCAGAAUUCAGUGAAUCAUCGAAUCUUUGAACGCACCUUGCGCUCCUUGGUAUUCCGAGGAGCAUGCCUGUUUGAGUGUCAUUAAAUUCUCAA